GAGCAGCAGCAUUCUUCUCUGUGGGAUCAGUGCAGUGACAGGUGAUGUGCUCUAUCAUGUCAUUGAACCCACCGUUGCCAUCGUCCUCGGAGAAGUGGUGGAAGGCUUGGAGUACCUGCAUAAGAAUGGACAGAAUCACAGGUGUGUGAACAACAGCACUCUUUGUGGGAUCAGUGCAGUGGCAGGUGAUGUGCUCUGUCAUGUCGUUGAGGCCGUUCCCCGGCCUCCUGCACAAUUAAUCAUGAUCUCUCAGCGUUCUCAUGGCUCUUUGUCAGUAUCACUAGUUUCAGUACAUUGCGGUUAGGUUAAGCUUUAUUACUCUGCUAUUAAGCAUUUAAAAAGAGUCAAGUGUGUACUUUAGUCAAACUGGAAAAUACAAAAACAGGAAAAAUCCAUAAGUUGCUACCAGGAGAUAGUCACUGAUAACACUCUGGAAUAUUGCUUUCCAAUUUCUUUUAUGUGUUUUGAAAAAAGAAUAUUUAAAAUAAUACUGUAAAUAUAAUUUUGUCUGCUACUUUUUUAAUUAGUUUUGCACUGUGUCUUGAACAUUUUCCCUAAUUAUUAAAAGCUUUUUGUGAACUAACAUUUUGAGAGCUGUGUAACAUUUCAUCAUUCAGGUAUUACUGGCUAUCCAGACCUGUUGAGUCCCUGAGGACAGAUUUGCAGGAAUUCACAUGGCGAUAGGUUCUGUGCUGUCCAGAUGUUUAGUCCCUGGAUUGUGUCUUCCUUCAUCUGAGAGUAUCUUUUCAUUUUCCCUUCAUUUCUGAAGACUAUUUUCAUUGGGUAUAGAAUUCAUGGUUGACACUUCUUUUUUUCCAGCACUUGGAAGAUAACGCGACUUGGUUCUGGUCUCCAUGAUCUCAGAUGAGAAGUCUGCUGUCAUUUGAAUUGGUGUUCCUGCAUAGAUAAUAUGUUGUUUUUCUCUGGUUACUUUCAAGAUAUUUAUCUUUGUCUUUGCUUUCCGCAAGUUUAAUUAUGAUGUGCCUUGAUGUGUAUUUAUUUGGAUUUAUCUUAUUUGGGGCUUGCUAAGCGUCUUGAAUCUGUAGGUUUCUGUCUUUCAUCAAAUUUGGGAAGUUUUCAGCCAUUAUUUUGUUGAGUACUUUUUCAGCCCCACACGCUCUCCUCUCCUGGAGCUCCGAUGAUACAAAUGUUGGAUCUUCUGUUACUGUGCCAGAGUUCCUGAGGCUCUGGGGUUUUUUUUUUUUUUUUUUUGAGUCUCUUUUCUCUCUAUUGUUCAGAUUAAGUAAAUUCUGUUGAAGUGGUCUCAAGUUCACUGAUUCUGUUCUGUCUCAUCUCCAUUCUGCUGUUGAACCCAUCCAGUGAUUUCUUAUUAAUUUUUGUUACUGUAAUUUUUCAGUGCUAUAAUUUCAUUUGGUUCUGUUUUUAUAGCUUAUUUGCUGAGAUUUUCAAUUUAUCAUUUGAGAAUUCAUAAUUGCAUGUUGAAACAUUUUUAUGAUGGCUGUUUUAAAAUUCUUCUCAGGUAAUUCUAGCCUCUGGUUCAUCUCAGUGUUGCCAUCAGAUAAUUGUCUUUUCUUUAAGUUUCUUUAAGUUUAUCCUGGUUUCUGGUAUGACGAGUGUUUUGUUUGUCGUUUUUUUUUUUAGUUAGAUCAUGAACAUUUUGGAUACUAGACUCUUUUUUUGUUUGUAUUUUGGAUGGUUUAAAACAACAGAGAUUUAUUGUCUCACAGUUCUGAAGGCUAGAAGUCCAAAUUCAAGGUGUUGGCAGGGCCAUACCCUCUCUGAAGGCUCAAUGAAAGAUCCUUUCUUGUUAGGAGACUCUUGAUCCCAUUUAAAAUUAUCUACUCAGCUGGCAAUUGCUCUACUUUUUGUGGACUGUGGCUCCAGUGAAAAUUUGAUUGUUGUUCUGCUCUACGUGGUUCACCUGGCACUGCUGGGGCUCCCCUUAGACCCCUGCUGUUGCCAUAUGUAAGCGUAGGUGCACGUCCCCAGGCCUGGCGCCGCCAUGUAGAAGGUCAGACCUGGGCCUGUGGAAUGGUGAGUGCUUUCCCAUACCCACCAUGUGGCUGCCUGACAACAGUGGGGCUCCCACUUAAUCUCUGCUAAUACUCCCUGUGAGGAUGGAAGGUGCUGCUGGAUGAAGAGUUGGGAGAUGCUGGCUGGGCCUGCUGGUGCUGCUGGUGUGGGCAGUGUGAGGUUGCCUGCUGCACUGGGAGUGGGUUGAGGGAUAGAGUUUCACAUCUGGUCUUCACUGAAACUGCUGGCUCAGGCAUAGGGGGCCUUCCUGCAACUCCAGGUAUGGAGGUGGGGGGCGGCGUCUCCUGGGUCUCUGCUAGGCUUACCCUUUGGACAAAGGGAACAGGCUUUUCUUGGUGGCUUUUUUUUGUCUAUGCCUGUUGAUGGUUCUGGGUUGCAGGACUCUAGUGCCCAAUGUGGGAUACGUGAGAUUAAAAGGAAUCCCAGGGGACUUACUGCAAGGCCAUUCUUCAAAUCCCGAAGUUCCUAGUCACUCUGUCCUCCUCUUUCUUCUUUUAAGUCCUUUUAUGAUCGUUCAGUUAUUUCUGGUAAUUUCAGUUGUAUUUAAGAGGGAGAAGCAGGGAAAAAUGAGCCUAUGCCAUCUCGUUUGGGUCCAGAACUAGUCUCUAGAUUUGGAAUAGCACCACCAUUUUAUUUAAAUCUAUUUUGUUCCUGAGUUUGGAUCAUUAGUAUGUAACGUUAGAGGUGGUUAUGUGACAUAUGUGACAGUUGUCCAAAUAUUUUAUAUUUACGUUGUUUUCAGCAUUGUGAUGAACAUCGUCCUCUGGGAUUUUUAUUUUUUCUUCAAAGGUUCAGAUCCUAUCUCUGUUACUUACUACCUGGGAGACCUUUGGCAAGUUACUUAACCCGUCUUUGCUUUGGUUUUCUCAUCUGUAAGAUGAGAAUGAUAGUAGUAUCUAUCUCAUAAAGUAGUUGCAAAGAUUAAAUGAGGUAAUAUGUAUAACUGUGGUGCAAUGGAUUGCUUUUAUACAGCCUCUCUUGCCAUGGUCUUAUUACUGCCACCAAAUGAUUGCAUUGGACCAUGCAAAUAAGGUGUUUGUGGUCCACCAAGGGAAUUGGACAGCUUGCUAACAAUGCAGAUAAGGUACAUGGCACUCUCGUGGGGGUGAGACCAUGCAAAUAAGGCAUAUGGAACACUGACGAGGGGAUUGGUCAUUUUUGCCAUCCUGCUAAGCUUGAAACGAUCCAUCCCAGAGCAGACAGGGAGGGACGUCACUACCCCAAGAAAGAAGAGCCGUGAGUGGAGUGCCGCCUUUGGACCUGGGAUCCCUACAUUGAUAACCUCCUAGAUCUAGGAGACAGAGAGCUGUAAGUCCGGAGGCGACGGGAAGCAGUGGCAGAGAAACAUCGGCAGCAGAACCGGGAGAUGGCAAGGUGGGCUUCCUGACACAUGGAGUGAGAAAGCUGAGCACCUUUGGGCAGGAGGCUUGCUGACAGAGUGGGAUGCCUCCAGGCUCUUGUCAGUGGAGCUAGGCUUGUCGACCUGUGGAGCUAGAGAGCUGAGCACCUUCUGGCUGAGGCUUACUGGCAGGGGGAGUGCCCCCAGGCACCUAUCUGUAGAGCUGAAGAGAUUUGUGACACUAGCCAGAGCAGGGCAGAGGUGAGGCCUCGAGGCCAAGGUCCAGGGAGGGGCCUGCCUGCGGGCACGUCUGAGAAGAACUGAUGGAAGAACUGUGUUCUGUGUGUUCCUGAGCCUGAAUUGUAACCUGUUACUUCCUAAUAAACCCCAUAAUCUUGAGGAUGGUCCAUGAGUUCUCUGGGCCAUUGCAGUGGGUCAUUGAACCCAGCAGAGAAGUAGGGAGUGCUGUGGCAGAGUUGGUAGAAGGAUUGGAGGGUGGAGGUAUGUCUGACCUCAGGAAUUAGUCCUGGGCUGUCGGUGCUGAUAAUGACUCUCACUUCCACUUUUAAAGUUAGAAGAGGAGGCCACUUGGAAUAGUGCCCAGCACACCAGUAUCGGUGAGUGCUAGGUGUUAUCUGUACCAGAGAUCACAGCCUUUUUCUGUAAAGGACUAGCCAGGAGAUAGUUUAGGUUUUGCAGGCCAGAUGUUCUCUGUUGCCUUUGUAUCAUGAAAGUAGCCACAGAUAAUUAGUAAGUGAACGUGCAUGGCUGUGUUUUGUCUGAAAACAGGCAGUUGGACGUUUCCACCUGUGGGCUGUAGUUUGUCAGCCCCUGAUGUAUGUGGCUGUAGAAGAUUGCCUUCCUCACAAAACAGUCUGGGCGUAAGUGACAUCGACUCAGUGUGGCAGCUUCAUGGAGUCGGGCUCAGGCGUCUUCUGUUUUGUUGCUCUUCUCUCUUGCUGGAAGUAUACUCCCAAGUGUAACGAGACCGUUCCAGGCCUGCUCCGUGUGGCCAUAGAGACGUGAAACGGGUGAAAGCGAAAGCAGCAGCUAUGUUUGGUUGGCCAAGCAGAAGACCACACCAUGACUUUUCUCGCCAAGAUGCCUCCCAGAAUAGCUCAGGGGGUUUCUAUGGGUGAAGUAAAUCGGGUCUGGGGUCUUCAGGAACACCUCGAGGUGGGGCUAGCUUGCUGAUUGGUCUGGCCUGGAAAGGCAUUCCCAGGGCAGCCUGGCCUUUCUGUCCUUGCUCAGUCUAAAAAGGGGGGGUCUCUCAAACUCAGUCUUAGGCUCAGAUCCCUUGCUUCUGAAAGCCUUCCCCCAAUCAUGGGCUGAUGAAGUUUGGUUCCAUGUGGUGGGAGAACAGUUCAGGGGUCACCCAGAGGAUUGGCGGGGGUGGGGGGCAGAGGUUAAUGAUUCUGCAAGUGUCAGAAGGGCCAGAUUUGGUCUUAACUGGUUCUGUGACCUGCCAGCCCGGCCUCGGAUUUUUCUUAUCUUGGCCAGAAGCAGUAAACAUACCUCAGUAAGGAGAUAGCUUAAAGACAGGGAGUUAGUUCCUAUAUCACAGAAGGUGGUGGGCCUUUGCCUGUUCAGGAUGGCGGGCGUGCUGCUGGUCGCCCAAAUUUUUACUCUUUGGCCCUAUCCCUUAUAUAGAAUAAAUAACACAUUAUUUUAACUGGAUACAAAAAAAUUGAUUAGGUACAGUUUUAGAUGAAUUCUCUUGCUGUCGUAAGAGUAUACCCUCAGGGUUCCUAGUUUAUUUAUUCUUCCUUGGAGUCAGUUGCUCUCCUUCAUCCCCAUGAAAAAAGAGGUCAUUUUCCUUUGUAAGACUUAAGCAGUUUGGGAAAUUUAGACAACUGGAAAGAAUUACUCAUUUUUUCCUGUGUGGAGUGUAUCUAUAGAUGACUUAUUUCACCUAUAUUGUAUGUUGAUCUUUUUUUUUUUUUAAUGCUCUUGUUCUAAGAGUAGCCUGGUCAAGGUUUUUUGUUUGUAUGUGUUUCGGGGGGGAGAUGGGCCCUUAUGUUUUUCAGUCCAUGUUCUCAUUACUCAUUGAAACCUCAGUGUUGCAGCUUGGUAGUUGUCUUCUUUUAGUCACUUUUCUGGGCUUUUGUUUGCUUAUCUGUUUGCCGAAGGAUCAAGUUUAAGUGGGUGAUUUUUUUUAGACAACACCCUAAUCUGAAAUUCUAGAUGCUUCUACCGUCUUGUGUCACAGCUUUUAGUAUACAGAUGAUGUCCUGUUGGUUGGUAAGUUGGAAGCCUCAGUGUCAAAGGCUGUGACUUGGAGUUUGAUCGUACGUCUUCCCCACGGGGUGGAUGCUAGAUCUGACGAGAUGCAAGGGCCUGCUUGGGCAGAUGCACAGUGCUCAGUCCCUCUGGCAGCUGAAGGAAACUGCUGUCUUUUUGGCCUUUUCCCCAUGUUCUCCACCACCAUCAAAAAAGAGGCCUCGCACCCUAUUGGGCUUACCUUACACCCUAUUAGAGAUAGCGUGUGCUGCGCUUGGACAUUCAACACGGUCCCUCAUGUCAGCUAAACAGUAAAUCAGCAUCCUUUGAGUGGGGACCAAGUUAACAGGAUGCAUUGGAAGCUGUCCAGCGUAAGUUCCCCCUGCAGCCUCCCCCUUUUCUCCUGUUAUUCACUUCCUGCAUUCCUGUGGUACAGUUAUUACUAUUAAUAAACCAACAUUGCUAUAUUAUUAUUAAUUAAAGUCCAUAGUUUGCGUCGGGCUUCACUCUUUGUGUUGUACAGUGUUGUGGGUUUUGGCAAAUACAUAAUAUCAUGUAUCCACUAUUGCUGUACCAUACAGAAUAGUUUCACUGCCCUAAAAAUGCCCUGUGUUCCUGCGAUUCAUCCCUGUCCCUCUGGCAACCAGUGAUCUUUUCACUGUCUAUAUUUUUGCCUUUUCCACAGUAUUGUAGAGUUGUUGUCAUACAGAAUGUAGCUUUUCCACACUAGCUUCUUUAACAUAGCAGUAGGCAUUUAAGGCUCCUCCAUGUCUUUUCUUAGCUUGAUAGCUCAUUCUCAUUCCUUAUUGACGAAUAAUACCCCAUGGAUGUGGAAUGGUUGUACCUCAGUUUGUUUACCCAUUCAUCUAUUGGCUCUUCCGAUUUUGGGCAAUUAUGAAUAAAGCUGCUGUAAACAUUAGUGUGCAGGUCUUUUAUGUAGACUUACGUCUUCAUCUCGUUUGGGUAAAUGCCUAGGAGUGCAAUUACUGGGUUUAUGGUAAGCCUGUGUUAGCUUUGUAAUGAACUGCCAGGCUGUCUUCCGAAGUGGCCGUACCAGUCUGCGUUCCCACUGUCCACGUCCUUGCCAGCAUUUGGUGGUGUCAGUGUUGUGGGUUUUAGCCAUUCUGAUAGGCGCAGUAGCUGUAUAGCAUCGGGCAGAUUUGCUGCAAAAGACCUCUUUUAAGUGUUAAAAAGCAACUAAGGUGCGCCUGACCCAAGCCAUGGUAUAUUUUCGGUCACCUCAUACGCAUGUAAAAGCUGAACUAUGAAUAAGGAAGAUGGAAGAAGAAUUGAUGCCUUUGAAUUAUGGCGUUGGCAAAGAAUAUUGAAUAUACCGUGGACUGCUGGAAGAACGAACAAGUCUGUCUUGGAAGAAGUACAGCCAGAAUGCUCCUUAGAAGGAGGGACCAGCCCCUGGGAGAAGGACAUCAUGCUUGGUAAAGUAGAGAGGAUCAGCGAAAAAGAAGACGACACUCAGUGAGGUGGAUUGACAUAGUGGCUGCAACAGUGGGGUAAAGCAUAGCAACUGUUGUGAGGAUGGUACAGGACCAGGCAGUGUUUUGUUCUGUUGUCCAUAGGGUUGCUAUGAGUCAAAGCUGACUUGAUGGCACAUAACAACGGUAGGUGUAUAGUGAUGUCUCACUGAUGGUCUUAUCUUAAUAUAGCCAUACUAGCUGUGGAGCCCUGGUUGCACAGUGGUUAAAGCUUGGCUGAUAACCAAAAGGUCAACAGUUCAAAUCUAUCAGCCACUCUUUGGAAACCCUAUGGGGCAGCUCUGCUCUGUUGUAUAGGGUCCCUAUGAGUCAGAAAUGACUCAGCGGUUUGGUAAAUAUAUCUUGUACUGUGGCUUUAUGAAGCGGUGUCAGUGCUAGCCCCCAACCUUAAACCCACCUAGUACCUAGGUGUGGAUUUUAAAACCUGAGCCCCCUAGGCAUUUAGGGCAGUAUCCCCAUUUAAUCUCCCCAUAGCUUGCUGCUUUGUUUCUUGUGUCUCUUAAAUUCUGAACCUUGAGGACUUCUUUCCUUAUUUCAUGUUCAGGUAUGGGAUCUGCCCCCCAGUUAAUCCAGCACUUCUUUGUGUUUGCAGCCCAGGAAGGCUGGGUUUUAGGGGAAGGACCUGGGUAGUGGUGAUGGAAGUUCUCUGUUAGCAGUCUGCCGUGUUCCUGGAAUGGGCAUUCUCUGUUUCACACUUCAAAUCACAGCUCUCAACCUUGGCUGCACAUUGGAGUCACCUGGGAAUUUUGACAAAGUACUGAUGCCUGGGUUCUCCUCCAGAGGUUCCUUUAAUUGAUCUGGGCUGAGCCUGGGCCUUGGGGCUUUUAAAAGCUCCCGGAGGGAUCCUAACAUGCAGUCAGCGCUGAGAGCCGCUACUUACACCUUAGCAGUGACCAACUCUGAGAGGCACUGAGGCUUCAGUAGGCUUAGGAGAAUGUUGUUUUAUUGGAAAUGAGAGAAGGAUUUUUUAAAAUAGGUUUUUCAGCUACUUAUGUCUUCAAAGUCCACUUGUUACUUCAGGUCCAUUUCUUUGUUAGCCUGGUGGAUCAGGUUAAAUAAUUUUCCUCCAUCUCUAUGUUGUUUUCCCCUUGAACUUCUAGACUUUGGAGGCUUUGACCAAGAUUGAAGGCUCUCUAAAUUAGACUGAUGUAUUUCUCUCUGUGUCUGCCUACUCAGGUCUUUCUCCCGUUGCAAAGAGGUUAGCUGUAGCAGAAAUUCUUGGUAUUUUAGGUCAGUUUAAGAUGUCUAAGUUAGGGUAUUUUCCAGCUUUGGCUUUGGCUGAUUGCUUCUCUUGAUCUUUUUUCAAGUUUUCCAUAAGCUGUGCCUGUCAGUGAGUAAUAAAGAUGUAACGGAUAGAAACUUGUGUUCUGACUGGUGAGAAAGUCAAGCUCAGCUGUGAUACUCCUCUUAAUUUUAAGAGGAAUGUGUGACUAUGGGGCAACAGGGACAUGUGACAAAUGGCACCAGGCUGUCUUGACACAGAGUGGGUGGAGGAUUUAGCCUGUGUGACUGCUGAGCUGCUCGAUGGUCGUCGUGGCACAGUGGGAAAGAUUUUUUAACUGAGGACUGUGUUGACUUACAGAUCUUCUCCCUGACAAGGUCGGUUGCCCUGACUUGUGGGAGGACAGAACGGGAAGGCUUGUUGCCCGGUGAGCCGCUGGGCUCCACAGUGUUCCUCAGCUCUAACUCCCAGAAGCUGGUGUACAGAGUGCACUUUUCAUUUUAAAGGGGAAGCGUGGAUUAUCUGGGGAAUUGAUCAGGAAAAGUAGUCACCCAGACUGCAGGCUGUACUGAAAAUUGAUUGUUUUUACUUAUGAAAGGCAAAAUGGUACAAACUGGUGUAUAGUAAAAAGCCUUCUCAGUAUCCAUGGAGGUAAGUCAUGUUGGUACUAUAUGCCCUUGAUGAGGAGAAAAAGUGGCGUCUUAACUUUUGUGGUUUUCUUCCCGAUACGUAAUAGCAAUGUAAUCAUGAGAAAAGCAUCAGACAUAUCUGAAUAGAGGGACAUCUUACAAAAUACUUGACCAGUGCUCAAAACUGUUAGGGUCAUCUAAAACAAGGAAAGUCUGAGAAACGGUCCCCGCCAAGCGGAGCCUGAGGAGACAUGUGACUACGUGUGACGUGGGAUUGUGAGUAGGCUUCUGGAGCAGCAGAAGGCACUCGCGAAAGCUGAGGGCCUUUGAAUUAACGGUAGACCUCAGUUAAUAGCAGUGUAUCGACACCUGGUUCACUAAUUAGGCAGGAGCACCAUGCUCACAUAAGAUGGUAAUAGAGGAACUGGUGCGGGGUAUGUGGGAGUUCUCUUUGCAGUUUCUCUGUGAAUCUAAAACUGUUCUAAAAAAGAAUGCCUGUUAAAAAGGAAAAAAAAGUUCAUUCCCCAGUCUCCAGGACCCUGGUCCAAAAGGAACCCCUUCUUGCCAUUUUCUUAUGACUCCUCUGAGAGAUGUUAUGCCUGUAUAAA